AACAACAGUGUGAACAAUAUCCAGUACAGCACUGCAAGGAAGAGAACUGGAGUCACGUCUUUUCUUGGAGUCGUGAAAUAAAAAAGCACUUAUUACAGGGUGAUGUAACAAGGGAGAGUGCGAGUGUGAGUGGGUACUACUAGACACCAUCUCUCUGCCUGCACAUCCAGAUGUUUCCAGAUUGUUAUUUCUUCUUCUUCUCUAUCCCUCAAUUUCCGUACCAGCUAUCAUCCAUCAUCCUCCGACCUUCUGUCGAGCCCCUCUGACUUACUGCUGUUGAUUUGUGUAAUCCCCACCUUUUAUCUCUUUUCUCCCCCUCCCUCCCCUCGGCCAUGUCCUCAUCAUGUAUUUGUCUUUCCAUCACUCCCUCCGUUUAAUCUCAUCUCUGAUCCGAGCGGUAUUUUUAAACCUGUCACGUACAACUCAUCUGUGGAGGACAAGUGUAUUUAUAGCCCGUAAACUAAAAUGAUAUAACUCUGUAACAGACACGUGUGUUAAUAUGGAGCUGAUGCCAAAACGAAUCACGGACAGCCUGCAGGAUGUGUGUUAAUGAGGCGCUUGAUGUACUGCGCGUGUAAAUGUGUGCGUUUACGUGUGAAUGUCUUGACCCCGUGUGGUGUUUUUCUGGGUCUUUCUUUGGGACACAAACGAUUAUGUACAUCCUCAGAGAAGAGCCAAGAAAGAAGAUGGGUUUGAAUCUACCCUUGUGCAUUAAAAAUUGAUAUAUUUUGUAUAAUUAACCAUUUCUUUAACCCAAAAUAGAUGUUUUGUAAUCACACUAAUGUGUGAAGAUGGAUCAACGUUCAAACAUUUUGAAACUUAUUCUUGAAAAACAACAAAAUGCAACCUAGAAGGCACGACGUCCACGCCUGAAUUUACUGCAGUUUUUUUUUUUUUGAACAAUUCAACUUACAAACUUUCUGGUACCAACAAAUUUGUAAAAUAGGUGGGCGAAGAUUAAUUCAUUAUCAGUCAAAAUGGAACUGGAGUUUGAAACCUUUCCUUUGAAAAUAAGGGAGGGCAAGAAAAAGGGGAACUGAUUAUUGGAUUAUCUGAAGUUACACAAGGUGCAUUCUUUUGUCGUUCUACUGUGAGACACAUGUCAAGUAUUAUGAGUCACAUUGUCUCGCACGCUCUGGCUCUGCCCGUCGGGGGCCUUUUAGUUGAGAACUUCUGUUACAAUGUUUGUGUUUUGAAUUAUUUUGCUUUUAAAAAUGUUUGAUUUGACCUGUUGUUGAUCCAUCUCAUGGUUUUAAGAUGAGGAGACCAAAACAUGAAUAGAUGUUCUCAUGGGUCGAUCAUGCCUUUGUGUAAAAUCACAUUUCUGGGAACACAGAAAUAUGUUUCACCAUGUCUUUGGAGUGAGAUGAUGCAAAUUAGGAAAUUAUCAGGCUUUUAUUCAAAGGCGAUGACGCAAUAACCAGAUUUGCAACACCAUAAAAUAUUAUUCUGAUGUUUUCCAGUAGAGAAAACCGGACUACAGACGAAUGUGCACAAUAAUACGACUCAAUAAAAAGGAUAUAAGAUAUCGUGGUCUCGCUGUGGUCAGUUUGGCUCCUGAACAGUUUAAAAAGAAGGAGUAGUGCAAACAAAGGCUUUAUUUCGUGGCAUUCAUCAGCAUGAACAUUUUCCACAACAUUUGAUUUAACGGGGGAUAAAGAGCUCCGAACAAAAGCAAUCUGUAGCUGCCACCUACUUAUACCUACGUUCUACAACUCCAAUAAACUGCAUUUCACCCUUAAAUCCUUACUACCACCUGCCUAGGUAAGCACAGCAUGAGCAAAACAGAUCCCACAUCAUGUCAAAUAAUCAUAUAUAUUUAAUAGUUAUCAAACAACCACACACUACAUUAUAGUUUCAGCAGAAAAACACGACAAUUCAAUUUACAGACGGGGGACAGGAUGAGUGCUACUAUGAGUUAUGAACUUCCUUUAGGAAGCAGAUUGUAAGAGAAUUAGACCAGUUGUUCACAUUUGCAGUGACGUAGGAGAACAUUUGACUUUCACUUUGGUUUAAUGAGCAACCGUUAGUCUCAACCGGACAGCUGUUUGAGCCUUGACGGACUCGUGUCCCAUAACAGGGAGAUUAAAGUAGGCGUUACGUUUGACGGAUCGUGAAAGAGAACAAUAUUACGAAAGCCGUCCCAAACGAGCGGGAGAUUGACCCGCCUUUGACCUGGUGCGGACUUAAGAACUUAGAGCUCAACUCAGGCAGAGGAGAUGUUUUGAGAAUUUCAUAACUGCACAGCUGCAUCUGCCCCCCAACACCCUCUCUAGCAGGAUGCUGCCAGGGACCCGACGCCACUUAUUAAGCCGUCCAAUCUGCAGCCGGGGAUCAAUGAAACCCCCCCACUGUAAGAUACUUACAUCUCCACAUUCUUACUGUUACGUACCCUCGCAAAUCUUUCCUCUUAUAUUAUACACAUGACACGUGUUUGAAUGUUUUCUUAGUAAUUUGUUCAUCAUAUUUUACUGUACACGUUCACAUACAUCAUGUCUCUAUUGUUUUAAUGUCAAAACUGUCAGAGGAUUCACACAUAUAAUCUAAUGAAAUUCAAACAUCUGAACCUUUGGAAAUUACUCAGCCAGAGAAAACAAUUACAUGGCAGCUGUAUAACAUCUGGUACUUUUCCUCACAUGCCAAAAUGUUGACCUGGAAAACUUCUAAUAAAGAUGAACAAAGGGCAGAGAUUGAACCCCAAAUCCAAAAGAUAUUUCCAAAUGUAGAACGUGAGGGUUGAUCUGGGACAAAUUACCGCCACAAAAAGUAAGGACGCUGUCGGGACGCAGGAAGACAGUUUUGAAAAACCCAACCUGGAGCUCCUGUGACAUUAAGCCGUUGUUGAUUUAUGAGUGGGGUUCAUGUCUUGAAUAAACCAGGCUAUGUG
ensembl:lncRNA